AGAGUUUGAUCAUGGCUCAGAUUGAACGCUGGCGGCAGGCCUAACACAUGCAAGUCGAGCGGUAGCACAGAGAGCUUGCUCUCGGGUGACGAGCGGCGGACGGGUGAGUAAUGUCUGGGAAACUGCCUGAUGGAGGGGGAUAACUACUGGAAACGGUAGCUAAUACCGCAUAAUGUCGCAAGACCAAAGUGGGGGACCUUCGGGCCUCAUGCCAUCAGAUGUGCCCAGAUGGGAUUAGCUAGUAGGUGGGGUAACGGCUCACCUAGGCGACGAUCCCUAGCUGGUCUGAGAGGAUGACCAGCCACACUGGAACUGAGACACGGUCCAGACUCCUACGGGAGGCAGCAGUGGGGAAUAUUGCACAAUGGGCGCAAGCCUGAUGCAGCCAUGCCGCGUGUGUGAAGAAGGCCUUCGGGUUGUAAAGCACUUUCAGCGGGGAGGAAGGCGGUGAGGUUAAUAACCUCACCGAUUGACGUUACCCGCAGAAGAAGCACCGGCUAACUCCGUGCCAGCAGCCGCGGUAAUACGGAGGGUGCAAGCGUUAAUCGGAAUUACUGGGCGUAAAGCGCACGCAGGCGGUCUGUCAAGUCGGAUGUGAAAUCCCCGGGCUCAACCUGGGAACUGCAUUCGAAACUGGCAGGCUAGAGUCUUGUAGAGGGGGGUAGAAUUCCAGGUGUAGCGGUGAAAUGCGUAGAGAUCUGGAGGAAUACCGGUGGCGAAGGCGGCCCCCUGGACAAAGACUGACGCUCAGGUGCGAAAGCGUGGGGAGCAAACAGGAUUAGAUACCCUGGUAGUCCACGCCGUAAACGAUGUCGAUUUGGAGGUUGUGCCCUUGAGGCGUGGCUUCCGGAGCUAACGCGUUAAAUCGACCGCCUGGGGAGUACGGCCGCAAGGUUAAAACUCAAAUGAAUUGACGGGGGCCCGCACAAGCGGUGGAGCAUGUGGUUUAAUUCGAUGCAACGCGAAGAACCUUACCUGGUCUUGACAUCCACAGAACUUUCCAGAGAUGGAUUGGUGCCUUCGGGAACUGUGAGACAGGUGCUGCAUGGCUGUCGUCAGCUCGUGUUGUGAAAUGUUGGGUUAAGUCCCGCAACGAGCGCAACCCUUAUCCUUUGUUGCCAGCGGU
rnacentral:rRNA from 1 species